CACUAUGUUGCCCAAGUUGGAUUUGAACUCACAACCCUCUCACCUCAACCUCCUAAGUAGCCAGAAUUACAGAUCCAUUCAUGUCUUGAAAAUGUUUAACAGGAAGAACAUAUUCCAAAUGGAAAGACUACUUUGGUAGAACCUAGUUUUGAACACUUAUAAGACUCUAGGGUCAUGCAUGCACUUAAAUUCUCCCAGGGACCUCUGCCAACAUUCGGUAAAGAACACUGGGGAGACUGGACUCUACUUUCCAUUUUUGAGUUCUAUGAGAAUCAAAUUCAUUUACUCACAAAGCACUGGAAAAAGAUCCAGACAAGUUCUACCCCUGUCAGUAAGUAGAUGGGGACAUCGCUGAAUUGUCUUCUCAUUCCCUAAGAAGAAGAAUUAUUAUAAUCCAGUUAAUCUGUGAGGAGAGAGGAGGAAUCUAAACAUCUAUGAUAAUGUGCCAACUGCAGCAGAUGCCAAGGUUGAACACCGGGAUGAAGAGCUGCAGGCGACCACAGCAACACCUGAUGGCUGCUCUGACACCACGUUUAAGUUCUCUCUUGUCACCAAGUUGUAAGGAGCAUCAACACCUUUAGCAAAGGCUACUUCCAUUUAACUGAUUCUAACCUGUUGAGAUUUUAUUGUCUUAGCAAAGGAAUGCUCACAAGAAUAGACACUGAAUAAUAUGACAGGUCAAGGAAUGAUCCUCCCAGUACUAUCCAAUAUGAGGGGGGAAAUAAUAACUUCACAGUUGGGAAACCUGGCAGGCACCACCUUACCCAAAUGGUGAGAGCUAACCUUCCAGGAAAGGGACCAAGCCAAGGGUCUCUGGAUAGGGUGCAGAGAAAAAUCGAGCUCUACGCCUGGGGUGUACCUGCCAAAAGCGCAUAACCGGCACCCGGUCAUGAGGAAACAUCCCACAAACCUGAGUUAAUUGAGAGCUAAUCUACAAAACAACUUGGCCUGUACUCCUCAAAGAUGGCCAACAUUGUGAGAAAGAAAGACUCAGAAAGUUAUUCCGGAUCCCAGGAGACUGGAGCCAAGGUGGUAGAAUUUCGAUUUUGGGUUGCUGGUGCUGUAAAACAUAGUGUUGGGGCAAUUGGCAACAUUUUAAUAAGAUCCGUAGAUAAGGUAAUAGUGUUGUUUCCGAGUUGAUUACCUGAUUUUGAUCAUUGUCCUGUGCUCAUGUAAGAGAAUCUGUGUUUUAGGAAGUGCAAAGUGAGAUACUGAGAAGACGUCAUCGUAUUGACAGCUUUUGCUUCGGCAGGCAAAACAUUCUAGACUUUGAUCACAGUGAUGGUUACUAUCAGUACAUGAACACCAGCAUCAAGGGCCAUUGAAUGCAUGAAUGUCAUUGUUUGUAAUUAUACUCUUAUGAAACGUUGUUCAUUUCAGCGUUGUUCAUUUUCGCUUUGUGAGGUACAGUAGUUGCUCAAGCAUUAAGUCUUGUGAUGGUACCAGCCUCACAGUUUUUAUGCAUAUUGUUUUCUGUUUACAGUUUAAUU
ensembl:lncRNA